CAUUGAGGGAAAGUGAUUCAUUCAAUAGCUGCGAAUAAAAAAAAUAGCAUAUACUAUAAAAACAUAAACGUGUCUAUCAAAUCUAAUUAAGAUAGAAACUCAACGAAACCGAUUUGGCAGUUUAUUGAAAGCAAUUACUUAAAAUAUUGGUAACUAAACAUUGGAAUAUUACAAAAUUUUAGAUACUACUUGCGGAUAAACAUUUUUUGACCAGAAAAGUCAAUCAAAUUAUUAGUAAAACGGGCCGCAGUCGACAAUUCUUCCACAAGAACAAAGCGAAGCGAAACCGUCCAACAACAAUACGGAAAUAUAAUGGAAAGAAAUCAUCAUAAUUUUUAAUAUGGACUAAUUUCGGUGCGGUUUUUUAGCCCGCAAAAAAACCAGAGGGAACGAGGAAGAG